rnacentral:rRNA from 1 species
CAGUAGCCGCGGUAAUACAGAGGCCUUAAGCGUUGUUCGGAUUCAUUGGGCGUAAAGGGUGCGUAGGUGGCUUGGUAAGUUGAAGGUGAAAUCUCGGGGCUUAACCCCGAAACUGCCUUCAAUACUGCUAGGCUCGAGGACUGUAGAGGAGAAUGGAAUUCACGGUGUAGCAGUGAAAUGCGUAGAUAUCGUGAGGAAGACCAGUGGCGAAGGCGAUUCUCUGGGCAGUUCCUGACACUGAGGCACGAAGGCCAGGGGAGCAAACGGGAUUAGAUACCCCGGUAGUCCCUGUCUCUUAUAC